AUUGAACGCUGGCGGCAGGCUUAACACAUGCAAGUCGAGCGGGGGAAGGUAGCUUGCUACCGGACCUAGCGGCGGACGGGUGAGUAAUGCUUAGGAAUCUGCCUAUUAGUGGGGGACAACAUCUCGAAAGGGAUGCUAAUACCGCAUACGUCCUACGGGAGAAAGCAGGGGAUCUUCGGUCCUUGCGCUAAUAGAUGAGCCUAAGUCGGAUUAGCUAGUUGGUGGGGUAAAGGCCUACCAAGGCGACGAUCUGUAGCGGGUCUGAGAGGAUGAGCCGCCACACUGGGACUGAGACACGGCCCAGACUCCUACGGGAGGCAGCAGUGGGGAAUAUUGGACAAUGGGGGGAACCCUGAUCCAGCCAUGCCGCGUGUGUGAAGAAGGCCUUAUGGUUGUAAAGCACUUUAAGCGAGGAGGAGGCUACUCUAGUUAAUACUUAGGGAUAGUGGACGUUACUCGCAGAAUAAGCACCGGCUAACUCUGUGCCAGCAGCAGCCGCCG
rnacentral:rRNA from 1 species